AUCCAGUUGACGAGUCUCGAAUAGGACGAAACACGCGUCCUGGAU
rnacentral:hammerhead_ribozyme from 1 species